CGGUCGCAAGAUUAAAACUCAAAUGAAUUGACGGGGGCCCGCACAAGCGGUGGAGCAUGUGGUUUAAUUCGACGCAACGCGAAGAACCUUACCUACUCUUGACAUCUACAGAACUUAGCAGAGAUGCUUUGGUGCCUUCGGGAACUGUAAGACAGGUGCUGCAUGGCUGUCGUCAGCUCGUGUUGUGAAAUGUUGGGUUAAGUCCCGCAACGAGCGCAACCCUUAUCCUUAGUUGCCAGCACGUUAUGGUGGGAACUCUAGGGAGACUGCCGGUGAUAAACCGGAGGAAGGUGGGGACGACGUCAAGUCAUCAUGGCCCUUACGAGUAGGGCUACACACGUGCUACAAUGGUAUGUACAGAGGGAGGCAAGCCUGCGAGGGUGAGCGGAUCUCUUAAAGCAUAUCGUAGUCCGGAUCGCAGUCUGCAACUCGACUGCGUGAAGUCGGAAUCGCUAGUAAUCGCAAAUCAGAAUGUUGCGGUGAAUACGUUCCCGGGCCUUGUACACACCGCCCGUCACACCAUGGGAGUGGGUUGCAAAAGAAGUAGGUAGCUUAACCUUCGGGAGGGCGCUUACCACUUUGUGAUUCAUGACUGGGGUG
rnacentral:rRNA from 1 species